rnacentral:rRNA from 1 species
UACGUAGGGUGCAAGCGUUGUCCGGAAUUAUUGGGCGUAAAGAGCUCGUAGGUGGCCUGUCGCGUCGGCUGUGAAAACUCGGGGGCUCAACUCCGAGCUUGCAGUCGAUACUGUCGCGCUGUGAGUCCGGGAGAGGAUGGCGGAAUUCCCAGUGUAGAGGUGAAAUUCGUAGAUAUUGGGAAGAACACCGGUGGCGAAGGCGGCCAUCUGGACCGGCACUGACGCUGAGGCGCGAAAGCGUGGGGAGCAAACAGG